GGCCGAGAUAGUGACAGUUCAUAAACGGUAACUAGGCCACCACUCCCUUAAGUAGAACAUAAUACUCUUCUAUUUAAAUAUCCUUCUUGCCUCAGAUUUCUCCAUUGAUUUCUGAUGACAAGUUUGAACACUUACUUCUCAAGUUUGGACAGACUUACUUCUCAAGUCUUGUGCUUACUUCUCAAGUCUUGUAUACUCUUUCUUCAAGUCUUGUAUAUUCUUUCUCAAGUCUUGUACUAGUUUAAACUCGCCUAGAGGCUUCUCUUCUUUAUUCUCCUUUCAUGUCUUUAUGUCAGUACUCCCCCUCAA
rnacentral:lncRNA from 1 species